rnacentral:rRNA from 1 species
ACGAACGCUGGCGGCGCGCCUAACACAUGCAAGUCGCACGGAGCUGAGAGAAGCUUGCUUUUCUUAGCUUAGUGGCGAACGGGUGAGUAACGCGUGAGUAACCUGCCCUGGAGUGGGGGACAACAGUUGGAAACGACUGCUAAUACCGCAUAAGCCCACGAUCCGGCAUCGGAUUGAGGGAAAAGGAUUUAUUCGCUUCAGGAUGGACUCGCGUCCAAUUAGCUAGUUGGUGAGGUAACGGCCCACCAAGGCGACGAUUGGUAGCCGGACUGAGAGGUUGAACGGCCACAUUGGGACUGAGACACGGCCCAGACUCCUACGGGAAGCAGCAGUGGGGGAUAUUGCACAAUGGGGGAAACCCUGAUGCAGCGACGCCGCGUGGAGGAAGAAGGUUUUCGGAUUGUAAACUCCUGUCGUUAGGGACGAUAAUGACGGUACCUAACAAGAAAGCACCGGCUAACUACGUG